UAAAAUCCAAUAACGGAGUUAAGUUCACGAAUGUACAUAAACCGAUUUUGAUGGAUAGCCGGAAUUCAAUUCAUGAGAUGAGGAAAUCACAAUGCGAUCAGAUUUCACUCAGUUAUGAUAUUCAGAAGAGAUACUCUGGUAUGAAUCAAUUCCCUGAACAAUCCUUCUGUUCCUCGUUCGAUUCUUUCGAUGCUUGAAUCUAACCCCAUCAAUCUCUCUCGAACAAUUCCCUCAAUUUUCUCCUUCGCUUCUGUAUCUCUACUCGAUGAUCCAAAUCGUAAUUCCUCCAUCGCUAUCUCCAGAUUCUCCAACUCGUUCAUUCUCUCCGUCUGAUUGUUCCGGCUUAUCGCUCCCUUUUGGACAAGCCUCGACACCAACGUCCAUCGGCUUGGUUUCGACCUCCACUGCACCGGCACGGCGAGGAACGACAAUAGCGAGUUGAAGAUCGAGG
rnacentral:lncRNA from 1 species